GAUGAACGCUGGCGGCGUGCCUAAUACAUGCAAGUCGAGCGAACAGACGAUGAGCUUGCUGCUCUGUCGUUAGCGGCGGACGGGUGAGUAACAUGUGGAUAACCUACCUAUAAGACUGGGAUAUCUUCGGGAAACCGGAGCUAAUACCGGAUAAUAUCUUGAACCGCAGGGUUCCAUAGUGAGAGACGGUUUUUCUGUCACCUCUAGCUGGAUCCGCGCCGCAUUAGCUAGUAGGUAAGGUAACGGCUUAUCAAGGCAACGAUGCGUAGCCGACCUCAAGGGCUGGUCGGCCACAUUAGAAGGGAACCUCCGACCAGACUCCUACGGGAGGCAGCAGUAGGGAAUCUUCCGCAAUGGGGGAAAGUCUAACGGAGGAACGCCACGUGAGUUAUGGAGGUCUUCGGGUCGUAAAACUCUGUUAUUAGGGAAGAACCAAUUUGUCAGUAACUAUGCACGUCGUGACGGUACCUUAUAAGAAAGCCACGGCUAACUACGUG
rnacentral:rRNA from 1 species